ensembl:lncRNA
UGUAUAGGGACAUCUUGCUGUGUGCUGCCCCAUGGCUCAUGGGGCAUGCACUGCGUGCGUUAUAUUCUGCUGGGAGUGGUGAUUUUACAGCGUCCUGGAGGUGUAGUCCAUGCCCCAUUUUUUUUUUUUUGGUUCUUUUUUUUUCGGAGCUGGGGACCGAACCCAGGGCCUUGCGCUUCCUAGGUAAGUGUGAUUGUUGGAUGUAUUUGGACAAGGCUUCUUCAGCUCCCCCCUUGGAGGCUUUCAAUGAGAACCUGACUUCCAGGAAUAGCAUGGCCCCAGGUGGUUGGAUCAGAACCGAAUAACAUCUGUCCCUACAGAAGACACCCCCCUGGACCACUUCCUAGUGCUAAAUGCGUUUUCACAUGCUCGCUUGCACCUGGCUUGCCACCACUUGUGGCCAAGAAAUACACAUCUGGACUCAACCUUUGUUAAAAACAGGAGAGCAAGAAGAAAAUCAGUGUGUGUGUGUACGGAGUGGGUAGUGGGACAAUAUUCCUACAUGCUCAAAAUACCAGUGCCUCUGCCAACAGAUGAGUUUGUGCCUGGAUUCCGGUCACACUUGGAUGCUUCCCUUUAAUGAUCAGAAAGUCUGACUUUGUCCUUGAUGCUCUUGUUUGUGGGUGUAGGAAUUGAAGUCAGAGCUUUGUGUGGGAGACAAGCGCAGAUGUAUCUCAGAGCUUACUGAGAAUCCAGAGCAGGCAGCUGUUGAGAGGAGAGCAUUGGGUCACUAGAACUCUAGCUUUCACGCUGGCUGUGGUGGCAUUAUGAAACUAGUGCUGAAUAUUAAAAGAGAGAAUGGAUUAAAGACAGAUGGACUUAUUUUGUCACUCUGCCUGAAGAGAUGAAGUCAUUUCAUCACCCCUUUGAGUCUGUUUGGGGCAUUUCUUCUCAAGAUAUGGGAUUUAACCCCUUACAUUUCAGAUGCGUGACAUCUUCCCUUUCUAUCUCUUGGAAUCCUGUUUUGUUAUGAGGGGGCCCAAGAGGCCACAAAAGAGACGCCUAUGGAGAAGAUGCCUCAGCUGAUGGUUCAGCUUGCUGUGAAGGAGCCAUCUUGGAAAUGAACCCAGGAGUCCUUGCAAUCAAGCCACCCAACUGCCACCAUGUGGAGCAACGGUGAACUGCUCCUGCUGGAUCCUGCCUAAAUCGUAAUUGUGCAUAAACAGAUAAUAGUUCUUCUAAGCCAGGGGUUUAGAGGGACGAGUGACACUGUUAUAGAUAGUUUAGAGUCUAUGGGUGUCUAGUCUUUGCAUUCCCGGAAUCUGGUGUGGGUACCUCUGGUUUUCUUACGUGAGCCAUGCCUACCUCUGUGAGUACCUGACUGACUUUGUUCCAGAAGGGAGCUUUUCAUUCAGCUUAGCUAAAGCAGAAGUGUUGAUCAUGAAAUGUCUCAGGAGGCAGCUGUGUGGAAGCUGAUGGAAUGCACCAGGGAAGUACGACCUCUGCUGCACUAGGGAGAGGGUCUCUGUGUUUCCAACUGGAUCUAAUCCCAAGGGAAUACUGAACCUGGAACUGCCAGGUCCUCCAGGUAGGCACUGAGAAUGAAACCAACCCAGUGCUGGCUGGAAUAAGAGGAAAAGAACCAAGACACAAUGGCAAGCCACCCCCCAGCUCUUUCUUAGGUCACUCUACCCUCAGACAGCUUGGACCAACAAUAUUUUUUUUUGUAUAUUUUGCCUGGUCAAUUUGAAUUAGAUUUUUGAUCACUUGACCAGGAAGAGUCCCAGGCACAGAGGCUCUGAAUUUUGAUGCUGAUACCGUCUUCUUUUCAGAUAUAUAAAAAAUGUGUUUCACACAAUUUUAUAUUACAGAAAAAUUGAAAGGAUUAUACAAAGGAUACAUACAAAGGUGGAUACUUUGUUCAGACCUCUCGAAUAUUAACAAUUGUACAUUUGCUUUCUAAUUUUUUUCUGUAUACAUAUAUAUAUACAUGCAUGGAUGCAUACUUAUAAUUUCUGUGUAUGUGUACAACUUUUUUCUAAGUGGACUGAAAAUAAAUUGAAAAC